GAUGAACGCUGGCGGCGUGCCUAAUACAUGCAAGUCGAGCGAACAGACGAGGAGCUUGCUCCUCUGACGUUAGCGGCGGACGGGUGAGUAACACGUGGAUAACCUACCUAUAAGACUGGGAUAACUUCGGGAAACCGGAGCUAAUACCGGAUAAUAUAUUGAACCGCAGGGUGCAAUAGUGAAAGACGGUGGUGCGGGCACUUAUAGAUGGAUCCGUGCCGCAUUAGCUAGUUGGUAAGGUAACGGCUUACCAAGGCAACGAGGCGUAGCCGACCUGAGAGGCUGAUCGCCCACCCUGGAGCUGGGCCACGGUCCUGGCUCCUACGGGAGGCAGCAGUAGGGAAUCUUCCGCAGUGGGCGGAAGCCUGACGGAGCGACGCCGCGUGAGUGAUGAAGGUCUUCGGAGCGUGAAACUCUGUUAUUAGGGAAGAACAACUGUGUAAGUAACUAUGCACGUCUUGACGGUACCUAAUCAGAAAGCCACGGCUAACUACGUG
rnacentral:rRNA from 1 species